rnacentral:sRNA from 1 species
AUUCUGCCCAUGCGGGGAAGGAUGAGAAGCUUCGACCAAGGUUCGACUCGAGCGCCAGCGAGAGAGCGUUGCCGCAGGCAACGACCCGAAGGGCG